rnacentral:rRNA from 1 species
UGGGGAAUAUUGGGCAAUGGGCGCAAGCCUGACCCAGCAACGCCGCGUGAAGGAAGAAGGCUUUCGGGUUGUAAACUCCUUUUAUGAGGGACGAAGGAAGUGACGGUACCUCAUGAAUAAGCCACGGCUAACUACGUGCCAGCAGCCGCGGUAAUACGUAGGUGGCGAGCGUUAUCCGGAUUUACUGGGUGUAAAGGGCGUGUAGGCGGGCUUGCAAGUCAGAUGUGAAAACUAUGGGCUCAACCCAUAGCCUGCAUUUGAAACUGUAGGUCUUGAGUGAUGGAGAGGCAGGCGGAAUUCCGUGUGUAGCGGUGAAAUGCGUAGAUAUACGGAGGAACACCAGUGGCGAAGGCGGCCUGCUGGACAUUAACUGACGCUGAGGCGCGAAAGCGUGGGGAGCAAACAGG